GAGGGUAGAGCUCAAUCAGGAGAGCAUAUGCCUAGCAUACAUGAGGUCCUGGGUUCAAGCCCUACUACCUCCC
rnacentral:tRNA from 1 species